GACGAACGCUGGCGGCGUGCCUAAUACAUGCAAGUUGAGCGCUGAAGGUUGGUACUUGUACCAACUGGAUGAGCAGCGAACGGGUGAGUAACGCGUGGGGAAUCUGCCCUUGAGCGGGGGACAACAUUUGGAAACGAAUGCUAAUACCGCAUAAAAACUUUAAACACAAGUUUUAAGUUUGAAAGAUGCAAUUGCAUCACUCAAAGAUGAUCCCGCGUUGUAUUAGCUAGUUGGUGAGGUAAAGGCUCACCAAGGCGAUGAUACAUAGCCGACCUGAGAGGGUGAUCGGCCACAUUGGGACUGAGACACGGCCCAAACUCCUACGGGAGGCAGCAGUAGGGAAUCUUCGGCAAUGGACGAAAGUCUGACCGAGCAACGCCGCGUGAGUGAAGAAGGUUUUCGGAUCGUAAAACUCUGUUGGUAGAGAAGAACGUUGGUGAGAGUGGAAAGCUCAUCAAGUGACGGUAACUACCCAGAAAGGGACGGCUAACUACGUG
rnacentral:rRNA from 1 species